rnacentral:rRNA from 1 species
CCCAGCAGCAAUUUUUUCUUCGUUUCUGCUUUUAUUCCUGCAGCAAAACAUCACAAACAACCAGUAUACGAAUCGAUGAUGAACGAACGGAUUUUACAUGAUAGAACUAGUCUAUUUACAGUAUAUAUCCAUCAUCACUCACUGAUUCACGAAAAAACAAACUCUAUUUCAACUUCUAAAAAAACUACUUAUUUGACAGGGUUCAUAGUAGUAGCAAACUAAUCUAACAAAUAAAACGGAGGACGCUUGCAGCGCACGCGCCGCCGGGAGGUGGUUGGCUCCGCGCUGCCGGGGAGGUCGAGAUCCGCGCCCCCAGCGCACAAGGGCCCGGGGAGGUGGAGGGCUCCGUUACCCUUCCAUGGCCACAGCUUGUCCACGAUGUAGACAAGGCCGUCGAGCGUGGGCGCAGAGGAGGGGAGGUCUCACAGCAGAAUGGAGGAAGAGGGUCCCGCGGCCGCCCGGCCCUGCUCGCCGUGCCGGCGCCCGCCGCUGGCCUUGCCUGCGUCGCCGCCCAGCCGCGCUCCGUCGCACCCGCCGCUGGCCUCGCCCGCGUCGCUGCCUAGCCGCGCUCCGCCACGGCCGCCGCUGGCCUCGCGUGUGAGAGGAUAAGGGAGACUGCGCGUGGGUUGGUGUGGACAGCGUUUGUGUGUGGGAGGUGGGGUGUUGGG